rnacentral:rRNA from 1 species
GGACCCGCACAAGCGGUGGAGCAUGUGGUUUAAUUCGACGCAACGCGAAGAACCUUACCAGGGCUUGACAUCCCGGGCUAUCCAUGGAAACAUGGAGUUCGGACCUUCGGGUCCGAUCCGGUGACAGGUGGUGCAUGGUUGUCGUCAGCUCGUGUCGUGAGAUGUUGGGUUAAGUCCCGCAACGAGCGCAACCCCUAAUUUCAGUUGCCAGCACGUAAAGGUGGGAACUCUGAAGUAACUGCCGGUGACAAACCGGAGGAAGGUGGGGAUGACGUCAAAUCAUCAUGCCCUUUAUGUCCUGGGCUACACACGUGCUACAAUGGCUGGUACAAAGGGCUGCGAAACCGUGAGGUGGAGCGAAUCCCAUAAAGCCAGUCUCAGUUCGGAUUGCAGGCUGCAACCCGCUGCAUGAAGUCGGAAUCGCUAGUAAUCGCGAGUCAGCAUAUCG